rnacentral:rRNA from 1 species
GAUGAACGCUGGCGGCGUGCCUAAUACAUGCAAGUCGAGCGAACAGACGAGGAGCUUGCUCCUCUAACGUUAGCGGCGGACGGGUGAGUAACACGUGGAUAACCUACCUAUAAGACUGGGAUAACUUCGGGAAACCGGAGCUAAUACCGGAUAAUAUAUUGAACCGCAUGGUUCAAUAGUGAAAGACGGUUUUGCUGUCACUUAUAGAUGGAUCCGCGCCGCAUUAGCUAGUUGGUAAGGUAACAGCUUACCAAGGCAACGAUGCGUAGCCGACCUGAGAGGGUGAUCGGCCACACUGGAACUGAGACACGGUCCAGACUCCACGGGAGGCAGCAGUAGGGAAUCUUCCGCAAUGGGCGAAAGCCUGACGGAGCAACGCCGCGUGAGUGAUGAAGGUCUUCGGAUCGUAAAACUCUGUUAUUAGGGAAGAACAAAUGUGUAAGUAACUAUGCACGUCUUGACGGUACCUAAUCAGAAAGCCACGGCUAACUACGUG